CCCUAUUCCCUUCCCUUAGGUCCUCCUGGACACCCCAGCCCACAGUCAGGCCUCCACAUACAUCCCAGUCAUUCACAUGCUGAGCUAGUUCUUCAGGGACCCCCACAGCCCAGCAAACUUCUCCAUCCAUGAGCCCCAUGGACCUGUGGCCAGGAAGGUGAGGAAGCUCCCACUUUGGCUGGACAGGGUAGCUGAGGACAGACAGGUCUGAGGAGCAGAGCAGGAGCUCUGGGAAGGAGAAGAGCAAUAUGACGAUGGAGUCUAAGAUGAGGCCAGGUAACUUCUGUGGAGGGAGACAUGCUGGACAGGGCCUAGGAUUGGGGAGACAAGCAGGUGUGAGCCCCGGGCUCAGAUUUCUAAUUGUAGCUGUGAUGACAGAAUGGGAGGAGGGUUGAAGCCAAAGCCCUGGGGUGCGGAAGUAGCGAGAAGAGGAGCCUCACCACCAUUGCUUUUUCUUUUCCUCUUG